GGAAUAUAAAUGGUUUAUUUUAUCAAAUUUCUAAUAACACGAGGUCUAUAAGGAACGUCCAACUAGAUUCAAAGAUGAAUCAAGUGAAAAUCUAAGGAAAGACAGAUUACAAUUUUUUAUAAAGGGCGUCAUUUGCAUCUCUUUCUAAGACACGAUAGUGUCGCUAUCAAAACAAUCAUUUUAUUGGUAUUGUCGUUUGAGACGAUAUACUACUUGAAGGGUCAUUUUAUUCCCAUUGUUGAUUAAUAUGAUAUACAACCAGAGGGGUCAAUUUAGUUUAUUGUUAAUUUAGACGAUAUGACUAUCUGGAAGGCACCCAGAAGAUAAAAGUGUUGGUCGAUUGAGCUCUAUCUUCAUUUGGUACCAAAGAUGACCUCAAGAGAAAAAUAUUCACGCAUUGCGGGUAGAUAUUCAUGCCCCGCAAGAAAUCAAGCAUCGCGGGAAGAUAUUCAUGCCCCUCAGAAAAUUAGGCAACGCUGGAAGAUAUUUAUGCCCUGCAGAAAAUCAUGUAUUGCGAAAAGUCAUGCAUCACGAGUCAAUAUUUAUGCAUAGAGAGUCGAUAUUCAUGCAUUGUGAGUAAAUAUUCACUCAUCAAGGAAAGAUAUUCAUACCCCGCAAGAAAUCACUCAUCACGGGAAGAUAUUUAUGCCCCGCAGAAAAUCAUGCAUUGCGGAAUGUCAUGCAUCGUGAGUUAAUAUUCAUGCAUCGCGGAAGAUCAUGCAUCACGAUUUAAUAUUCAUGCAUCGCGAGUUAAUAUUCAUGCAUUGUGGGAAAAUAUUCAUACCCUGCACAAAGUCAUGCAUCGCGAGGUAGUAUUCAUGCAUCGAGGAAAUCAUGCAUCACUUGACAAUAUUCACGCAUCGCGAGUUAAUAUUCAUGCAUCAACGAAAUCAUGCAUCGCGAGUCAAUAUUCUUGCAUCAAGGAAAUCAUGCAUCGAGGAAAUAUAUUCAUGCCCCGCAGAAAAUAAUGCAUCGAGGAAGAUCUUGCAUUACGAGUUAAUAUUCAUGCAUCAGGGAAAUUGUGCAUUUCUAGAGAAAUAUUUACCCAUCAUCAUAAACGACAUCUUUUAUUUGGCAACAUUAGACGCCGAAAGAAUUGUUAAAGACGACAUGAAGAAAAUAUCAACAAUGCAUCAAAUUUUACUUAUUUUAGUAUCAAGUGAAGAGUAAAUCAAAGAUUAUAUCGCAAACAUUAAACAUAAGCUUUAUUUGCUUUACGUCGAACCGAUUGAGUUGACGACAAAUACUGAAGGAGAGAAACUAAGUGUUUAAGCGGUAAAAGACACUAUCUCCCAUUUGAAUUGCAUUUUUGGGAUGACGAGUUUUAUUUCAGUCUUUGUCGAGAACAUCCAAAAGGAUUACUUCUCCAAAAAAACAACAUGUGCGGGAGGCAUAAAAAGAGAUGCAACACAACGUGGAACUUUUCUUAGCAGUGAACUGGGACAUAGUCCUAAGAGGAGUGUCGAACUCUUAGGAUGCGAGCAGAGGAGCGACAUCCACCACAAUCAAACCACACCCUUACCAUAAGACAUGUGGGUUGUUCUUUGGUUUUUGUAAGUUUUGGUUUUGCAUGCGGAAUUUUAAUCUGUCGGAGACAAGUUUCCAAUAUGAGCGACAAUGCGCCAAUAGUUUUGGAAAUAAUGUCCGUGUAAUUUCUUACCUAUGGAUGUGAAGAGAUCCACCUUCAUGGCUAAGAGUUUGGAAGCCUCCUUUUCACACUCAACUCAAUUUGUUACUUGUCAAGAACCAACGGUUAUCUAGCAUAAUAGAUUUUCUUUUUAACCGAUCGAGUCAAAGUACGAGCAGCCUGAUUCCUAAGUUUAAGGAUAUGUAGGCGAGCUCAAUGUUGAAAACUCGGAUGUAUUUGAACAUUCACUCUUAAAUUUUAUUCUGGAACAUAUAACCAUAAUUUGGUAUGGAGAUGAUUUUUAAUUUCUUUCAAAAUCGUGCGUUAAAUCAAGCGUAUCGAACUACAAGUGGCCUGAAUUCUCAUAUAGACUGAGGUAUAAAGGAAACCCACUUCCGAGGUUCGGCCAUAGAUCCUAAAGUCCUUUACCAAACUCCUUGUCCAACAAGAUGAAUAUGCAGUCGGUCAAAAUCCAUUUGGUCAAUUUCAUGUUCCUUGAGUUUCUUGCAUUAAUCUAUGUAAAAUGAGGGACAAUGUUGACACCCCAAUUUUGACCCACCCCAACAAUAAUUAAUUUUCGAGUUUAUUAAUUUUCUAACGACCUGAAACAGUUGGCUUUAUAAAAUUCAAAAAUGUUUUUCAAAUCAUUUAGAAAUAGCGUUAGUUAAUUUCUAUAGUCUUUUUCUGAGUAAUAUUACUUUAUUUUUUAGUCUUAUAUAUAUAUGUGUGUGUGUGUGUGUGAUUUUAUAUAGUUAGUUCAUUUUUUAAAAUACUAAAAAAUUGUCUCAAAAGAUAUUAGUUUUACUUAACGCUUUAUUAAAUUAUUUUUUGUCAAAAUUAGUAUCUCAUAUUUCGAGUCUUAGUUUAUAAUUGAGCUAGCUAUUUUAUCUUGUUAAAAUUAAGAAGCUCGUAGACUAAUUAAAUAUUAAAUUUGUCUUAUGUAGAAAUUUUAACCAAGUCGUCAUUUAAGCUGAAAUACGGUUUAAAACCCAACUCUAAUUGGCCUUAAUAUUUGGGUUAUAUUUUGACAUCUCCUUCUUUCUUGUUUACACCGUUUCAAUGUGACCAUGUUGGGUUUCUGUAACCCAUUUCAGUAACUCAUUACCAAUUUCCCAAUAAGCUAAAAUUGUCCUGCCCGCCCCUCAAUUACAUCCAGCCCUUUUUGAAUCCAUUUAAAAGGGAUCAAAGUUUGGCCUAUUUCUAUUGACCCAGGCCUUUUUCCAGAUCUCAGCCCACUCUAAUUUCAUGAUCUAGUCCAACCUCUUUCCCAUUGGCCUGACCCGACAUAUUUCGGUCUUUUUCUUUUUUUGCUUUUUUUACGAGAGUUGAUCUAGAGAACGAGUAACAGUACACUCGUUCUCUUCCUCCUAAAAUGCAAACCCAGAAAAGUCAAAACCGACGCGUGAAGGAACAGGCACAACGUUCUUCACACCUAAUGGCGACUUCACACCUUCCACGAGAUGCAGCAGUAGUCUGUGGCCUUGCUUGUAUGCUUCCUCCCGCGUCUCCAUCAAGUCGUACGAAUCCAGCAAUGGAUGAGGCACGCAAAUUCGUCCUUAAUAUGGUGAGAUGAUACCAUGUCAGACUUCAUGGACAAGAAGACUCAUCCUAAUCAUCCCUUUCCCCUUUCCAUUUUUGAAUAAGUUCAAAGCUUCAGAGAAAGGGUUUUCAUCCAAAAAAGGGUAAAAGGGUUUCGAAAUUUGAAUUCGUAAUGGGCCUUUAUCUAAAAUUUGGUCGGUUCCCCCAGUUUCUAACCUUAAUCUCUGGGUAUAUAAAAUCCUUUUCUAAAAGUCGCCACAAAAGAUAAAAAAAAUAAUCACUAAAAGUUUUAAAAUCAAAUUCUAAUUUUGGUGUUUUUUUUCCAUUAUUUUUAAAAAUACAAAAAAUAAUAUCGAUUAAGUAGGAGUUUGAAGACACUGUAUAAUUUAUUUUUAUGGUAUAUGUAAUUGCAUAAAAUGUACAUUGAUGCAUUAUAUAGUAGGAGAUGUGAAUCAAGAAGUAGUUUUCAUUAUUUUUCGUAAUAAUAUUGGGUGCUUUUAAUAUUAAUAUUAUAAGUUAUUUAUUUAGAAAAUUAGGUUGCAAUGAAAAAUCAAUUAUCAUAUUUUUUUGUUGAAAAAAUAGGUUUUAGUAUUAAUCACUACUAAAAGUCACUCAUAACCUUUAGUUUCAAUAUUUUGAGGUUUUGUGGCAACUUUAUCGCUACUAAAGAUCAAGUUCUUUUGUAGUGAAUCUUAGUUGGCAACGCUUAGAUGAAGAGAUUAGUAUCAUGUGGCAUUCCACAUCACUGAAAAAUUGAGGUGUUAACUCUCGAGGGUAUUUGUGGUCUCCUAGAAUAACAACAAUGAAUUUUUUUAUCCCAAAAUAUAAUAGAAGGUAUAAUAAUCUAUUUCAUAUAAUUUAGGGACAAUUUUGACCUUUUUCCAUUCAAUAAAUCCUAAAAAAAGUUUACUCACUCAUAUCACGUCACUAUUCGAUCCAACCAUUUUAUUAUCCAUCAAUUCGGACCAGCCUUCCCACUAGCACUACUAAAAAGAAAUUGAAUCGCAUAGUAAAAAUAAAUAUUAUUAUACUACUACAGCUGAUAGCAUUAUUUACAUAUACAAAUUUAUGGAAUUUAAAGUACUUACCAGGAUAACCGACGAAACCGUCUAGCCAACCGCCAUUCUUUCAAUCUUGAGUUAUGAAUAUAUUAUUAACCCCUCUUU
rnacentral:lncRNA from 1 species